ensembl:lncRNA
UGAAAAGCCAACGGACAUUUACUCCUGAGCUCACGCGACGCAAGCAGUAUGGUCAGCAUGGCCUACCAAAGCAAGGUUGCUCAAACAACUGUGGGGUGUUUGUUUUGAUGUUUUUACACUACAUACACAAUUCAUACAUCAAACUCCUGCAGAGCUGGAUGCUGUGACAUGCUGUGUCUUCUACAUCCUGAAAUAUAUUCCUGGAGGGGAGUUAUUAUUAUUAGUUAUAAUAACUAACAUAACUUACAUUAUGCCCUGUACAUUGCUAUGGAAGCACAGUGUGAUUUCACUGAGGUAUGUAUAAAUUAUGAAAUUCUCAUCACUAGUGGAUAUGUUUUUUUGGAUACUCAUCCG